CAGCAGCCGCGGUAAUACGUAGGUGGCAAGCGUUGUCCGGAAUUAUUGGGCGUAAAGGGCUCGCAGGCGGUCUCUUAAGUCUGAUGUGAAAGCCCCCGGCUCAACCGGGGAGGGUCAUUGGAAACUGGGAAACUCGAGUGCAGAAGAGGAGAGUGGAAUUCCACGUGUAGCGGUGAAAUGCGUAGAGAUGUGGAGGAACACCAGUGGCGAAGGCGACUCUCUGGUCUGUAACUGACGCUGAGGAGCGAAAGCGUGGGGAGCGAACAGGAUUAGAUACCCGCGUAGUCCCUGUCUCUUAUAC
rnacentral:rRNA from 1 species